GACCUGCUGGUGUAAUGGUUACACGCCUGCGUAGUCUAAUUGAAAACGGUCCAAUCUGUGCAGGAGUUCCUCGUUCGAAUCGAGGGCAGGUCU